AAAUGCAUUAAACAUCUCCAGAACACAUGAAACGCAUUUUCUACUCAUUUUUUUCCUCAAAAAAAUAAGAACAUAUCAAAUAAUGAAAACAGAAGAGAACAUUUACAAGAAGCAAGACCAGGAAGAAAUUGUGUGAACGUGGUCUUCAGUCUCUUCCAGGAAUUGCUGGGUUGAGGUGACCUAGAUAAGAAAGCAUAACACCUGAGCAGUGCCACAAUGUUCCACGGGUGAUGCUGGCUGAAGGACUUGCAGCAAGUGAGGGCGAUGGCGACAACAACGAAGACGAUGAAGGAACUGAG